rnacentral:lncRNA from 1 species
UCUCCCUCCCCUUAUCUUUAUCCAACAUCUUUCUCUCUCUUUAUUUCUCCCGAUCCACUCUCUCCUCCUUAUCUCUUCACUGCCUCUCUCUCUUCCCCCUUCCCCCGCAGCCUUCUUGAUUCAGUUGCAGCAAAUCUGCACUCUCUCCCUUUCCUCAGCAAAUCUGCACUCUCAGCCACUGUCGUUGUUGUGUUUCCGCCAUAGCCGCCGCUGCUCUGUUUCCGCUGCUGCUCAGCCGUUGCUGCUCGUCUUCAC